ensembl:lncRNA
CUUUGUUUAAAAGCACAAUAUGUAUAUAUAAAUUAAUAAGAUAAAUUAAGUGUUAAUCUCUCUCUAAAUAAUAAUAAUAAUAAUAAUCAUAAUAACUGCAGCUCAUGGAAAGCAGACGAAUGCUUUUGGUUUUAGUUUAAGAGAAUAUUUAACGGUUACAGGAUCAAAUUAUAUAUUAAAUAUCAAGCGUGUAUUGUUGUACAGGGACAUUUCCGUUCCUCCAGCCGAAUUCAUUUAGUCACAUCGUCGUAUGUGAUUAUCAUUAGUGGUUAUUCUGUUAGGUUUAGGGUUACAUAUGUGUCAGAAAUACAGACCUUCAUAGAAGACCCUCAGUAAGGGUGUUUCAGCACCGAGAGGUGGACAGCUCCCAAAACUAAAACAGAUACAAUACACUCAAUACAGAUACAAUACAAUCUACUCACGCUAAUAAGGGUUUUUUGUUGACACUAAUUUAUUUAAAGUGAUGAUUUAUCAGACAUGCAGAAUAUACUGUAAGGCUUCUGGGUUAAAAAAUAUUUACAAAUUAAAUUAUUUCAAUCGAACGAUGUCCUAAUCAACAAAUUAUGACUUGCACUAUGUAUGCAUGCCAUAGUUUUGGAAAUGUUUGCUGUAUUGGAAAACGCCAAAACGCAGCUGCAUGUAAAUAUCCUGCAUGUUGUGAAAGGUCAGGGUGGGGAGCAGAUUCACCUGAUUAAAUCAAAUCGACAGUAAAUAAGCCAGAAAUUCUUGCUUGAUGUGUGCGUGUGCUAACCUUUACCUCAAAAGGUUACAUUAACAAACUGCAUUCAAUUAACAGAUUGUGAUUUGUUAAUUGUACGGUUUAACCCACUUGUAAGCUACUGAAAUACAGUUUCAGACCUCAUCUUGAGCUUUCAUUAUAGACAUCAUGCACAGAUUAUAUUAAAGGGACUUGCUUAUGAUUCAUUUAGGUUUAUUUAGUGCUGUCUCUUGUGUACAGUGAACUGAAACUUCCACCCCUGCUAUAUGUUUAUUUUGGGGUAUUUCCUGGGAUACUGUAAUUAUAAGUGCAUGACACACACACAGGCACACACCACUUAUAGAUACAGCCUGCUGCCAAAGUGCACAAUAAACAUAGCCUGUGAGGAUGGAUGACUUUAGACAUGGAAGUGCUACAGUUUUGCAGCCAUCUUUGAAGAGGCCUAUGUGCUUUUGAAGGCGAUGACUAGCUCUUUUGAAGCACCAGGACACUGGGGAAAAAACUGAGAUCAAAACAUAAUAGAAUGUGUGCAAAGGGACUCCAUUUAAGGACACAUUUAAUGCACUAUUACAGUCUGUGGUAGAGCACUAGACUGGCAGGGCUUGUGGUCCCUAGAGGCUGUGGGGGGCACAGACUGUUUUUGAUGUGGUAUUAUAGGGGAGGGGGAGGAGAUGCUAAGGCUCUUUACUGAGUCAAGGAAAUGGUUAGGAUGCCCAAGCUACCAAGUGACUUUUUCUGGGUUAGAAACAUCAUCUAAAGACAGUAGGUUGACAACAGCUCAAUGUGAACAUGAAAGCAUUGUUAGAAAUAAUUUUAAUCCUCAUUAAAUAUUUCAGUGUAUUCAUAUAGCGCUUUAAACAACAGUCGUGGUCAGAAAGUAUCUUACAGAGAUCCAUAUGGAGACUCAUGGAGAAUAUUAGAAGAAAAUGUGAUCAAAAUGAGUGGGCAGCAAAAGUGGGGGUGUGGCAUGAUGCCCACAAAGAGUUCCUCUAACCUUGGUGGCUAUCUUGUGCCAUAUAGCUGAGUGGGCAACAAGAGUGUGAGGCCAGAUCCGUCCUUAUCUUGCACUGAGUCAAGUCCUUCACUCAAUAUAACUGAAAAAAUAUGAAAAAGUGUUGUAUUUAAGGUCAAUGAAAGCUAGUGGGAACUAGCUAGCAUGGCUCAUGGCUUACUUUCAGCCAUUACUAAUUUCCUUUACAGACUUUAAUAUUUUUUAAUAGACAACAAGCAAUCUCUUGUUCCUUUUUUUUCUUGACAACACUGUGAAAGAAAACAAUGUUUUAAACUGUAUGUUUUGGUUGAAACCCUGAAAACUCCAAACCAUUUUUUAAAUGAAAAUUUGUUAUGUUUUUCCAUUUUCUAAUGAUUAUUGAUUUUUCACUGUAAACUGACGUGGCUAUCCAGCUAAUCCAGUGUUCAGCUGUAGCUCAGUGCAAUUUGUAGACAGACAGGCCAUGCAAAAAUAUAUUCGCUGUGACUGAGUUUGUAGUUAUCACAACCAUUUAGAAACGUUGUUCGGAAAAAAUACAGAUACACCAGCCAGGCACCACAUCACCCCUAACGAGUGAUACCGUGGCACCAACUAAACUGAUAAGAAAUGUCACCAUUAUUUUUAUUGUCAUCUUUCAUUAGGGUUAAUAUGGAGCCUGCUUGGUGCAUCUGAUGGUGCCGGCAUGGUGCUGCAUCUUUCUCUUUCUGCCCGUACACACACAGAGGGAAGGAAUGCUGCGGGUUGUCUGGGCUGAUUGGUUUCUUCUAAACCUAAUCUACCUCCUGUGUGUGAGGGGAAGCAUUCAGAGGGAGACCGAGAGAGAGAAAGAGGUCAAAAGAGAAAAAGAUUGAGUGAGGUUCCAUUGCUUAUUUCCAUAAAUCCAUAAAUUCAAGAAUAAAAAUUAAUGAAAGAUGCACUGAAUAAAAUAAAAAAAAGCUGUGUAAAAUAUUUCUGUCGCAUUCUCUCAAUAGCAAGCUUGUUUGAUAUGUCAGCAUAAUCAAAUCAUAGCAUAAGGUGAGGACAGUGUUCUGCCUUAAAGGCACGAUUUUCUAAGUAAACGCUAUUACAUUAUUUUCCCUCCCCCAGAAAUAUUAAUUUCACUUCAUUAUGUGUACUGUUAUCCAUCUGAGCCAUAAGUCUUUUUUUGUUGUUUACAUUGUAUUACCAUUUCAAUAACAUUUCAAUUUAUCUGAUGCAGAAUUAUAACGACAAGUGUAGAAUUCUGGCCAUAAUGGCAUGGAGUAAAGUGUGUAAAAAUAUCACAAAAUUUAGGAAAUAUUUAUUUGUCGUAUUAUUAGACAGGGUUUACUGACCUUGUAUAUGAAACCUGUGUGCGAGCUCUGAGUUUACUGAUCAGGUAUUCAUAAAAACAGAAGUUAUGUAUUUGUUCUCAUAUUUAUAUUUAUCUGACUAUCUAUGAAUAUGUCUGCAUCAAUACAACAUCAGCAUGGCGACUUUUUCAUGACUGCCUCUGAUGCAGGCUACUCCAUAUUUACUGAAUGCAUAUGAAAACCUGAAAAGAAUAAUAAAUCUUUAUUGAUUUUUUUUUUUUUUUGAGGAAAGAUUGUGAUUAAAACCCCCAUGACAUUGCCACUCAUAAUGACAUUUUAUUUCGGUCAAAUCCCUUGUGGCUGAGUUGAUUUUCUUCAAAAUAAUUUAUUUCAAUUUUAGCUUUUGUUUUUUUUUUUUUCCUUUCUGAACUGUUCUCUAUAGCUCGCAUUGUACUUCCCCUCUUAUCCGAAGUGGUCAUAAGAAAGAUUGGCUGUGCUUUAUAAGUCAUACGUCUGCCAAAUUGCAUGGGCACUUAUCAUGGUCAUUAGUUUCCAUUCAGAUGGUGGAGGGACGGAACGCACUGCUGUGCUUGGCCGUCUCUCCUUGCUGAGCCACAUCAGCAGUCGAGCAGAAUGUAAGGCUUUCAUCGCAUCUAGGGAUAUAAUUUCUCAGCUUUUAAUAAUGCAGUACUGUUCAGCAUGGCAGCCAUUAUAGUCCCCCAGGACCUUGGUUGUAUAAGACAACUAUAGUCUCAAGAGAACUAGUUUAAAUCAGCAAGGCAUAUACCAGGAUUUGAAGGUUAAGUAAAUUUCAAAGCUGCCUUACUUUGACAAGUUGUUUUUAAUUCCCUAGACUUUGAGCACUUCAGUCAUUUUUACAAGUUCUCACUUGUGUACUUUUUUUUCUUUCCACAGAGCUUUUAACAGUUCAUGUUAAUGAUAUUCAAACAGAUGAAUAGCUGUGGAUGAACACAUGCUCAGAAGGCCACAAGGAUCCAAGUAAAAUAAGCAGAACGAGUCAGCGGGCUGAAAAACGCAGAACAGACGAGGGACAGAGACGGAACUUUGACAUAAUGGCGAAUAUAGGACUGGACUGGACGGUUUGUGGAAAGGGCAUGUGGCUCAGUAGCAUGACAUUAUUAACUGAAGAUAUUUUUUCAGGCUUGCGUAAGUCACCUUAAAUUACAAAAGGCUCUCUCAGAUCGUUCCCUUAAAGGUCUUUCAGCUCUGGGUUGAAACAUUUCAAGAAGCAUGUGACUGGAAUUCACCUGAAUAGAAAUCUGUGUGUAAAUGUGGGUGUAUAUAAAAAUAUACGCCUAUAAAAUGUAUGCCAUCGAGUUGAUGAGAAUGAUAUGAAAUAUUCAUAUAAGCCCUGACUCACAAGUUUCAUUAUGUCACUGCUUUCAAAAAGACAAUAAGAUAUUGUCUUUAGAACUCAGCAGCCAUGCAAGGAUUCAGAUAUUUGCUUUAGGGAAAUAUAUUUUUUAACAGACAUCAGUAGUUUAUUCAGUAGUUAUUGGUUUCAUCCAUUUGCAUCAUAUAUCAGGUGAUAUAUUGGACCUGGAAAUAUAUUUGUGAUGUCAAUAUCUUUACCAUACCAUACCAUUAAUGAUACAGUUAUUUCAUGUUUAAUCAUCAUUAUACAGUACAUCAUAAUACUAAUGUAUAAUCACACUGCUAGUAUGCAGUAUGUAUAUCAAAUUAAAUUGUCUCCUAAUUUGUAACGAAAUAAUGUUUCCCUUUGUUUAUUCUUAUCCUUUAAUUUAAGUCUUCCACAGUCUAGGAGGUCAAAGCCUUCCUUCAAGACAAAUGAAACCUCUGCAUAUUUUCAAACUGUUGCUUAUGUAAUGUCACAGGAUUGCUGGAUGAAUGAGAAUGAGACAGCUCUGUAUACAUGAGCUAACAGAUACCUCUGAUUGCCUAAUUUCACUCUCAUCAAUAGUGGAAAGAGGCUGUCCUUUCCACAUAGUAAGCAGGCCAGUUAUGCUUUCUUAGGUCUUUUUCUUCAAAUAACCUGUCAUUUGAUAUUCUUGUUUCCAAUAAAUAUGCACAAUACAUUGUGUGAUAUACAUGAUAAACACGAUCUACACAUUGAUUCCGAAAUAGUUCUGGAUAUUGUGGAAGACUAGUGAUUUUGUUGUUGAAAAUAUAUCAAUGGCAACAACAAGUCAUAGUCUACCUCAGUGACCAGGACACACUCGCACGAUUGCCUUCAUUCACAAGGAGUAUUAAUGGCUGAUAUAAUGAUAAUCAUUCCUUGCGUAAAGGUUCAUUAUCGAGACCUGAUAGCAGUGGAAAAUAUGAAAUAUUCUUUUUAGCAUGAGAGACAUAGAAAUCGUUGACUUUUUUCCUGUCGUUAUAGGUAAUUAUUCUUUCCUCCUUUUUUUCACAGCCAACUUCUUUUAUGUGCAAGAUGAAAAUGUUUUUCCCCAACCUGUCAAAUAAAGACAAUUCACUGAAGUUUCUGUCUCAUUCUUGACCAAAUAAAUAAGAAGUCAUUAUAAAUCAAAGUAAUUUCAC